rnacentral:lncRNA from 1 species
UGCGCGCAGCUGUCACUGCCCGGCGCGGAGUCGAGCCUGGCUGCGGCUGGGCUGCUGACAGCUUUAGUUUCCAAGCGAUAAUCUGGCCUAAAGAAAACUUUACACGAGGGAAGACUUAUCCCAAGGGUAUUUCACUUAAAUGUCUUUUUUCCUUUUCUUUUUUUGUUUUGUUUUUUUUUUCCUCCUCCCACUCUCUCCCCUCCCCCCUCCCUUGUUCAGACAGGGCUGCGAUGACUCUCUCAAAUGAAGGGAAAGCAAUGAAGUUGCUUAGUUGUACAGUGCUAUAAAAUGUACUUGAGUGUCUUAUGUUCUGAUGCACAUGGGAGUUCAUAGGACAGAGGAGAAGGUUACAACUUUCAAAGAGCUGGCACUGGUGAAUUAACUUCUGUGCCAUCAGAGCAUUAACUUACUUACACUUGAAUCCAUGAGUAAUGGCACUGCUGCAAGGAGCCUUUGGGAGCUCUGGGGUGAGAGCGCUGCCUCCAAGAGCGACUCUCCGUUUGGAAACCUCUGCUCAAGGUGAAGGCCAGGCCGCCUUAGUUGGCGCUCAGAAGUCUUGCAUCGAGACGGAUUCCUCGAAGCAUCAUAAUCCAUCGUUCAGAGCCUGGGCACUGCGUUUUUACAGGUACAUCUUGAAUGAAAAUAUGUUUCUUUGUCCUGGGGUUGGUAAUAACAAGGGGUAAUUCCGGAAGGACUUUCCAUGGCUGCGUCUGCUGUCUUGGGAGGUACGUUCUGAUAAUAAAUCACUCUUUCUUGACCUUUACUAAUUUAUU